CAGGGUGGGACCCAGCCUCACCCUGCAUGGUGCAGACCCCCCCGAAGCCACUCCAGGUGCCAGGCUUCCAGCUCACCCUCCACAGCCAGCAGACUCCCCAGGGGAUGAGGACCCCAAGCCCUGGUGGGACCCACCCCAUGAGGCCCCCUCACAGGCUACUUCCACCCACGUGGUGCUGCCUUUGCGCCACGCCAUGCCGGAAACUUCAAGGACAGGAGAGAGGUGCCCCACCAGGACACCAGCUUCUGCUCAGCAGUUCUCAGCCUGUGUCUUCGGUGCCCUGCGGGACACUUCUGCCCCAACAGAGCCACCCGCCCCAUCCCAUGCCAGCCGGGUACAUUUGGCCCCCGCUUAGGCCAGGAUGAAGCCACAGACUGCACCCCUUGCCCAGCAGGCAGGGCCUGUACCCAGGCUGGGCUGACACAGCCCGACGCAGCGUGCUCACCGGGGUAAGUGCCCGCCAUUUCUCAAUGAUGAGUGUCCCGAUGGGGGCCAGAGCCAUCCCCCUAACACCCUUAGAGAAUCAGUCCCAGGUCAAGGCCAGACUUCUCCCAGCCUCUGACCCUCUCAGAGCUCAGAGAGGGCUGUGCCCUCAGAUCAAAGCUCUGUCUCAGCCAGCCCAGGGCUCCAGGACUUGCCCCCGAGCACCGAGGCCCAGCACUGUCUCAGGUCCAUCCAUGCUCAGGAGGCAUCUAGGGAGCUGUCUUCCUGGCUUUGUCCAUGGAGAAAGCAGCUCAGAGAGGCCAGGUUACCGUGCAGACUCACAGAGCAGGCCAGGGGCACGGCGGGAUCUGGCCAUGACUCUCCAAGAUGCCGGGCUCUGCGUGGUGGGCACCAGGUGCCAACUCCCCUGCUGCUGUAGGAACCGGGGGCCCAGACCGGCCCCCCAUCCCCUGCUCAGCUGGCCAUUAUUGCCCUCCCGGCACCAAAAAGCCAACCCAGUUCCAGUGUCCUCCCGGCAUCUGGAGUAACCAGACUGGAUUGACCAUGAGCGAGGAGUGUAUGCCCUGCCCCAGGGGCUGGUUCUGUGUCAGUGGAGCUCAGGUGCCCUCAGGGACAUGCAGGGCCGGGCAUUACUGCCCAUGAGGUGAGUGGGGCCAGACUCUGCCCUGGCAAGGUUGCAGGCAAAUGCCAGGAGAGGGUGCCAUGGGCUGGCCUGUGCACCUCCUCUGGAGCAGAUGCAGCAGGAGAAGCCUGGUGUGCAACGGGAGAGGUGAAGGUUCCAUUUCAGGACCACCUUCCCGAGAGGAGGGCUGGGAGCAGCAGGAAGCUCGGGGAGGCUGUGGGGACAGAAGCCACCGGCAGGCUGGGGGCUGGAAGGGAUUGAUAAGCCUCAGAGCCUCCUAAAUGGGGGUUCCCAGGUGUCUCAGCCCAAAGCACAGCUUCCUAAAGACUGUGUCCUGGAGAGUGACACCCCCUCUCCCUGCCCCAUCCCCAGUGGCCUCCCCUGGGAACUGUCUCCAGGCAGCAGGUGAGGAGCUGGUGUGCCAGUGAUGACACAGGUCCGACCCCUCUUUCUUCCUCUGAACCCCUCUUCUCUCUGAAACAGGGACGAAGUGGGGGACACAGUUCCCCUGCCCAGCAGGCACCUACAGCUCCCAGGCAGGCAACGGCCAGCUCGAGGACUGUCUGCCCUACCCCCCAGGGGCCUUCUGCCCCAGUGGGGUCCCUGAGCCGGAGCUCUGCCAACGGUAAGGAGGCCGCAUGUGUGGUUGUUAUUGAGGCCAAAUCGCCACAUUCAUUGUGUGCCUGCUGGAGCCCAGCACUGGACACUGGUACCAAGGGAGAGGAGGGCCCAGCCUGCCCUCAGGACCUGGCCACCUUGUUGAAACAGGACACACAGGAACAGGAUGAGCUGGACCCAGGGCUAUAGGUGCCCCAGGUCAGGGGCACCCCUACAGCCAGGAAGUUGAACAAGAGAGAAUCACUCUGGGUUACAGUCAGUGGAGAAGCCAUCAGCUUGUGGUGACUCGAUUCAGCCUUAAAAGAUGGGCAGAGUGCCGGGCAUGAUGGCUUGUGUCUGUACUGACUGGAGUAACUGGCUUGGAUUGACCAUGAGCAAGGAGUGUGUGCUGAGGCAGGAAGAUUACUUGGGGCCAGGAGUUUGAGACCAGCCUGGGCAACAUGGUGAAACCCCGUCUCUAAAAAAAUAUAAGAAUUAGCCAGGCAUGGCAGCCUGUAGUCCCAGCUACUCAGGAAGCUGAGACGGGAAGAUUGCUUGAGCCCAAAAGUUCCAGGAUGCAGUGAGCUAUGAUCAUGCCGUGGUACCCCAGCCUGGGCUACAGAGCAAGACCUCAUCUCUAAAAUUAUAAAAAACUUAUUUAAAAGAUGAGCAGAGUCCAAGGAGGGAUGUGAAGGUAUCCCUGCUGAAGCAGCCGUGCACCAGCCCACCAUCCUGAAAAAAGAAGCUGUUUCAGAGCUGCCCACUCUAAAGGCCAAACCCCUCCUAAAGCUAAUUGCUGCAGAGAUCUCAGCAGAGAUCAUUUGGCCCAAGCUGUGGGAUUAUCUGUGGAUUUUACUGUUUUAUUAAAAUGUGCCUUUUAUUCCUCUGGUCAAAAAGAAAACUUAGGGUUUGUCUUACUAAAAACAAGCAAUACACAUUCUUCAUGUAAAAAGUGGAAAUGACAUUGAUCAAAACAAAUUUCAGAUAAAUGCAGAUUUCAAUUUUAAAAAGCCAAAAUCACAAAAUCACAAAGCAUAAAUAGAUAUUUAUAAAACUUGAGAGAAUGUGGAAAAUCUAAGCCUGGGCAACAAAAGUGAAACUCCGUCUCCAAAAAAAAAAAAAAAAAAAUGAGCCGACCUCCCUGGCAGCUUACAAGCAAGGGUUUAUAGAGGCAGGGGUAAAUGUCAGGAGAGAAAUUUACCCUUAUACA
ensembl:lincRNA